CGGAGGGGCUCGGCUGCCGAGCCGCCACCAGGGGGCGUACCGGCGAGGGGCUGCGUCCACCUUGCCGUCGAGUGCCUCCUCCCCUCCGGCUGCCCCGAUUCCCUCUUCAUCCUCCAGCUCCAGCCCAACCCCGACACCCCGGACGUCAGGCGGGUCUUCCGUCGCCUAGCCAACCUCCUGGCCCCUCGGCGCGAUCCCUAUCCCCGGCUGACACCGCCCUUCGCGCCGUUGAAGAGGCCUUUGCCCACCUCUUGGAGAGCACCUCCACCAGCGCCGGUUUCGCUCCUGCUGCUCCCGGUGGCGUUUCCAUCUCAGAGAUGUGCUCUGGACGGUCUGCCCCCACUGCUGCCAUGUGCAUGAGUACGAGCGCAUGCUGGUGGGGUGUUUGCUUGGGUGCUCGAACCCCUGGUUCAUGUGCGUGUUCGUGGCUACCUAGCCCGCGCGGCUGCCCUCUCCCUGCUCGCCGGUCACCGCCGCUCGGGUUGUUCGCGCAGGCUAAGCCACGGAUUGUGUACGAAAUAUUCACAACAAAGCAACGGUAAGCUUGCUCUAUCCUUGAAUAAAUCUUUGCAUACUUUAUUUGGGUUGCCAUCGUAUGUUUAUCCUUAUGUAUCCUAUUGAAAUUGAAUAGAUCAAACAGAGAUCCAGUUACAGCAAAGAUGCGAAAAUUGAGUAGUCAAUAUAGCAGGUGCAGUGUGAACUCCUGUUUUCCCGUAGUAACUUCAGGUGGGUUUGGUGCAUUCACCAAUCAAAUUAGUUCAUUUUUAUCUCUAAUGUUGUUUUAUGCAUCUUUCGGUUGUUACAGAAAAAAGCCUCUCUACCUGGGUUAAGAAAUUCAGAACUUUACAGUGAGCAGAAUGUGGACCUUAUAAGGUCUACACAUGCAAGAUUCAGGAAUUGGAAACGGAAGUAACAUGGCAGAAGUUCUCCACUGGGCUCAAGGGGAUGAAUUGGUUAACUACAGAGAGCUUCAACAUGGUGGCAACCUGGUGAAGAAAUGAGAGGAAGUGGAAGGAUAGAAGGUACGCUUCUGCAGAAUCCAAGUUCUCAGGAGUAUCUCACAAAUGAGUCAUCAUAGGUGAGAGAUGUCUCAUCCAGCCGAACGAUAUUAUUGACUAUUUAAUAGCAGCUGACCAACAGUUUUGGUAAUUAGAAAAGAAGACAAUUCCACAGAAGCAAAGCCAGUUCAUUGGUCGGGAGCUAAAUUAGCAGGCAUGCUACCUGUACUAAAUACAUGUUGUGCUUCCUGUCCCUUCUGUCCUUCUAUAUACUAAACUCAUUGGCAUAUGAUGUAACAUGUUAAUAUUCUUAAUGAAAUCACCUGUAAUGGGCAUUUUUCUUAAAGAAAAGAUUACAGUAUACCAUGACUAAGGUUUCAUACAGGAUUGUGUCUCCCUUGGUGUUAUUUGCAACAGCUGAGUAGCUCCGGAGAGUGUCAACGUAUGUGCCCGAACUCAAUAGAACAAGCACUAACGAUAGCAGAACUUGAAAAAUCCAGGAGAUGGCUGCUCUCACCAUAUAGUUCAAAGGUUCACUAUCCAAUGAUGCUAUUUAUGUUUAGGGUACUUAUUGUAUAACUGGUUAUAACAGAUAUGUUGUUUUAUGAUGACAUAUCUUUAGGAAAGAACAUUCAAAUAGACAAAUUUUGCUGUGUUAGAUUUUUAUUAUUACCAAGUAUACGAGUUUGCUCUAUCUGGUUGUCUCAAAGUAUUACAGUUAUACGUGAAUAUGAUAAUCAAUUGCAUGUUUGUGAAGAACAGAGGCCUGUAAGUGUGGCGGUAUGGCCUCUUUCUAGAGACAUACUUGACUGCUUAUUAAGUUGUGGGUUGUUUUUUG